rnacentral:misc_RNA from 1 species
UUGCACACACGAGUUGCAGCCAACCCGCGGCGAACGAACACAUUGUCCCCCUCGGUGGGUCGUGGCGCCUCGCGGCGUCGCGGCCGGCCAACUCCCUUCGUCGCGCUGCGCUGCGCUCCGCGCGCGGCGUCGGGUUUCCACGCGAUGCCUUCACCUUGACCGAACGACUGAGUCCCUUACUACUUAGAAAGAGUGACGAGUUCCCUCCCCCCCUUGGCUUGGCUUGGCUUGGCUUGGCUUGUGAAACAUAACCCAAAACAACUCUCAGCAACGGAUAUCUUGGCUCUUGCAACGAUGAAGAACGCAGCGAAAUGCGAUAUUUAAUGUGAAUUGCAGAAUUCCGCGAAUCAUCGAGUCUUUGAACGCAAGUUGCGCCCGAGGCUUGUCCAAGGGCAUUUCCGCUAGAGCGUCACCGCGCCCCCCACCGAUCCACUCCCACCCGGGAGUCGCGUCGAGUGAAAGUGGCCGUCCCGGCGGGCCUUCCGGCCUCAAGGGUCGGCUGAAAUGGAGGGAAUCGGGCCGCCGUGGUGACACAGUCCGCGAUCGGGUGAUUCUCGGGCUCCUCCUUUGUUUGGUUGUGGGCCCGGGAUUUUUCUAAGUGCGAGGCUGCGUCGCCCAGUUGGUCGUGGUGUUACCUCAUGCAGGUCGAGCGCGCCCCCCGCGGCGCGCGUCACGCAUCAGACCUCUAAUCGGAAAAGACUACCCGCUGAGU